CCCUUAGAUGUUCUGGGCUGCACGCGUGCUACACUGAUUAUUUCAACAAGUGUUUUAACUGGAGAGUUUGCGUAAUCCUGAAAUGUUAUCGUGAUGGGAGUAGAGUAUUGUAUUUGUUAAUCUUUAACGAGGAAUUCCUAGUAAGUGUAGGUUUAUAAGUUGUUCUGAUUACGUCCCUGCCCUUUGUACACACCGCCCGUCGCUCCUACCGAUUGAUUGAUCCGGUGAAUUACAUAGAAUUUUGCGCUUUACAUGACGGAAGACGAAGUGUUUUAAACCUUAUCAUUUAGAGGAAGGAGAAGUCGUAACA
rnacentral:rRNA from 1 species